AGUAAUAGCAAUUUGUAUUGAUGCCACAAGCAUAUGAACUCUUAUUGGCCUGAGCCUUUUCGCAUUUCUCGGUUUGAGCUACCCAUUCGAUCACAACAUUUGAUGUUUCAAAAUCUGUUGGAGUUCGAGAGAGUGGCCAAUCCGACAGGUCAAGGGAGUCUUUGUCCUCAAGGAAAGCAAAGCCACAAGGGUUAAAUUCGGAAACAUUCUUGUGGUUGUCAGUGCUCUGAAUGGUAAUAUUCAGAGACUUGAGACCCUUUGGAAUCGAGGUCUGGCAGCAUCCAGAACCUGAGCAGGAAUUAUUCUUUGACAUGGUAACAUUUCUAGUGCAUAAAGAGAGACAAGCAGCCCCGAAUGUCACCUCCUCGUUGGUCACCGUGGCAACGGUAUCACAACCAACUGCUGUGAACAUAUUUCGAGAGUCUGAAAAUGUGAAGGGGCCUGAUCCAAGUAUCAUAUACGAGUUGAAAAGCCUGUCCUGCAGCCCUGAUUUGUGAUAGCAAUCGAACGAUAUAUAAACGCCUGCAGUGACUGUGCCAUUCAGCAAUGAUAUAUUGCGAGCAGGCAUGUUCUCUCCAAACCACAGUUCAUGAUGACCAUCAUCAGUGGAAUUGCAAUCUAGAAAGAAGUUUUCAUUCAUGGCACAUCUUCGUUCCCCGAUCCCAAACGGGUAAGGAACAAUAACAUCCCCACACCUUUCUUGGCAGCCAUCUCUCACAUCUGGAUUUGCUGUUGUUGCAGCCACUAGUAGCAACAUCAUCAGCAAAAACACCCACCUCUGAAGUAUCAUUUUCUAUACACCACCACCCAACUUAAUAUAUGUAUACAAAGAAGCUCCAAACCAACUCUCUCCCGCUAACUUUUAAUUGUGCAACUUCAUAAUUUCCUGGUAGACAAUAUAUAGCUAAGAGAGACUGACAGAAAACACUCAUCAUAUGACCAAUUCUGAGAUGAUCAGGUCAACGAAUCUAUUCUUUCUGUAAUGAGGCCCAGUAAUGAAUCAUGAAGACUAAAAUAAAUGAUGCGAAAGAAACCAAUAGGAGAAACAGUCAGGGAAAAGAAAAGUCCCUCCAUAGAAUACAGUAUACCCCACACAGGCAGCCAUAUUGGAAUAUUUUCUCGUUUCUGCAAGCUAAGGUAUUAUAAUCCAGUUACGGUUUAAAAAGUUAACAGUAGUAAUUGAUUUUUUUGUUUUAUUUUUUUUAGAUUUAUAUAUUUUUUUAUUCAAUUAAUUUAUUCUCAUUUAAUUUUUAUUUUGUUAAAAAAUAAGAUUAUUGAGACGUUUUGAAAAUAUCAUAAAGAUAUAUUUUUAUAAUAUUGACAAACAUUCAUCGAUAUCUUUUACAAAUAAUUAUUGUUUUUUUUCCCGUUUUAUUUGUUGUUGAUAUCUUAUUUUUUAAUGAUAUUAUUAAAUUAAUCAAGUUUACUAAAUUCAUUUGAAUCAAUUUCCUGAACGUUAUAUUUUUAAUUUUUUUAAGAUAUAUUUAACUUUUUUUAAUAUUUUUUGUGCGAUAAAAAAAGAGUUAGCAUGUGACAUAGCACAGACCAUUGAACCAGUGCUACCUAGAAGUGGUCAAGCAUUGUACCAAGUAUCCAUUUGUGUUUUUUGUUUUAAAGUGUUUUUGAAAAAAAUAAAAAAAUUAUUUUUAUUUUAAAUUAAUUUUUUAGUAUUUAAUUUUAGAUCGUUUUGAUGUAUUAAUAUUAAAAAUAAAAUUUAAAAAAUAAAAAAUAUUUUAAAUUUUUUUUAAGUGCAAAGUAAUUUAAAAAACAUAUGUUAACACACUGCUAAAUGUGAAGUGAAUCACUGGCACCAAAAUUACUAAAUGAUAUCUUUAAUUAUCUCAGGAGUGGAAAAGAUUUAACAUGGACAUGGGAGCUUUGGCAGCACCUUUCCCAGGUCAUUUUCAGCCCAUGAUAUGCCUACAAAUCUUGAAAUCUGAAUUAAUGAAAUCCCCUCUUAAAUAUAUUAUAAUACCUGAAAUGUAAUUAAUAAUUUGUAACAAGAAACAGAACUAUUUCUGUUAAAAAUACCAUUAUUAUUAUUAUUAUUAUUAUUAUUAUUAUUAUUAUUAUUAUUAUUAUCACUAAUCAUUUCUUCAUUGUUGUUUUGCUGCUGCUGUUGUUAUUAUUGAUGUAAUAAAUUAGUGAAUUAAUUAGGAGAGUAUCUUAAUGAUUAGUAGGUUAAUUAAUACAAACUCAAAGGGUACUAGUUUUUCAAUUAUUAUUUUUAAUUGUGUUACUUUGAUGAUUUUUUUAUUUACUGUGUUAAAAAAAACCCCUCUUGGUUCAGGUACUCUUCUUUCUGUGAUGCUCUUACUCCGACCUCUCAACUUCUUCGUUGGUAUCUUAUGGUGACCACAUCCGCUGGCAUGUGAGUGGUGUAGACCGACGUCUGUGGCCCCAAUUCUUUUGGAAAAUUCAGUCUUUCUUGUAUUAUUUUAUUUAAUCCUAUUGGAAAAUAUCCCAUCCUAAGUCAAUAGACAAUGAGGCCUGAAGACUAAAACAAAUGUUGUGAAGGAAACUAUAUAUAUAUAUAUAUAUAUAUAUAUAUAUAUAUAUAUAUAUAUAUAUAUAUAUAUAGGAGAAACAGACAAUGAAAAGAAAACUCCAUCCUCAUAAUACAGUUCUAUCGGGGGAUACCCCACCACAGAGACAGCCAUUUUGGAAUAUUUUAUUCUUUAGGUUCCCUUUUCCUCAAGGUAUGUUGUAGAUCUCAUUGGAAGAUUUACUCUUUGAAAAUGAACAUAAAGCGUGUUAGUUUUCUUCUUCACAAAGCGUUUUUAAAGGUUUUUGAAUUCUUUUUCUUUAAAUUCUUUUUUUUUAUAUAUAUUUUAAUCGUUUUGAAACUGCAGCGUUUCCAAACAAGCCCUCGCAGUCUUUACUCAAAAGGGAUGUUUAACAACUAUGCUUGAAACAAAGCAGAUGCAUACAAUUUCUUCUUUCAAGAUUCUUUUCCUUUUUUAUUACAUGCGAGUAAUUCGUAGAAGAUGAUCAUACACUGUCAAACACUCAAGACUUUCCUUAACCUCAAGUAAGUACUGAACACCUUUUCUACGUAUAGGUGAGAGUUUGUCGAGUUCAACUAGAAUACAGAGUAUGAUUAAUUCGAGGAAAUCCCGGUCUCGAAUAUUUAAUUGAUGGUAAAUGUUUUUGAUGUUUUUUCAUUAACAAGAAGAUUUUAAAUAUAAUUGGGAAUAACAACUGACCGAAUUACCAGCACUCAAAUCAUAAAAAUAACAUAACUACUUAUGCUGAUAUUCACCUAACAACCCAAGCUGAAGACCUAUUCUUAAGCUAAAAUACUUGGCUGUAAAUCAACAAAUUAAGAACAAGUCUUAACCUGAUACCAUGUAUAAUUAUUGGACUCAACAUCAAACUUAACUGCACUCUAGACUUAACUAAAUUAAAUAAUAAGAAAUAAAUAUCUCAUUAGGAUAAUUCUUUUGGAAAAUUCAGUCUUUCUUGUAUUAUUUUAUUUAAUCCUAUUGGAAAAUAUCCCAUCCUAAGUCAUUAGACAAUGAGGCCUGAAGACUAAAACAAAUGUUGUGAAGGAAACUAUAUAUAGGAGAAACUGACAUCUGUGGUUCCAUGAGACCACUUCUUUUUAAAAAUUCUGUCUUUCUUUUAUUUAUUUAUAUUCCUAUUGAAAAAUAUCCCAUCGUAAGUCAUUUGUCAAAGAGGCCCCAGUGCUCAAUCAUGGAGACUAUAAUAAAUGUUGUGAAGGAAACUAUAUAUAGGAGAAACAGACAAUAAAAAGAAAACUCCAUCCUGAGAAUACAGUUCUAUCGGGAUACCCCACCACAGAGGCAGCCAUUUUGGAAUAUUUUAUUCUUUCUGCAAGCCAGGUUCCCUUUUCCUCAAAUACAAAUGGCAAUGUUUUCUCUUUGGAAAAUUUUACUUCUGAGAACUAACAAAGUGUGUUUGUUUACUUUUGAGAACGAACGAAAAUUUUACUUUUAAAGCAUUUUUUAUUUUUUUAAUAAAUUAUUUUUACGACCAACAAGCUCUUCACCCAGACUCUACAGUCUGGUGACAUGUUCAUGUUCCCUAAGGGUCUUGUCCACUUCCAAUACAACGCGGAUUCUCAGAAUUCAGCUCUCGCAAUCUCUGCUUCCGGAAGUGCUAGUGCAGGGACCGUAUCACUUCCUACCACCCUUUUCGCCACCAGCAUUGACGAUAACAUCUUGGCCAAGGUCUUCAAGACUGAUGUUGCCACCGUUCAAGCUCUCAAGGCUGGUCUUACGCCUUGAGGAUGGGCUCCAUAAUUACCAUUCUUUACUUGUUAUUCUUCUUAUGUUUUACUUUCCCCCUACUCUCUCUUUCAAUCUGCUGAUGAUUUGUAUUGAAUAAUCGCCCCCAAUAGCCUAACAGGCCGGUGCAUAAAUUGUUCGUUUGUUCUUUGCUCAAUCACAUUGCUAGCGUCUAUCUACCAUAUAUAUCAAACUACUCAUAGUUAUUGCACUCGAUCGAUUGAAAAUUCUAUUAUCGUGUCAUUUUGUAUUUUUAUUUCUUUUUUAGACAGAUGAAGAAUACUGAUCGAUGUUUGUAACGAUCUAUCAUUUAAAUCAAACUAAUGACUACAAAAACAAUAACAUUGUAAUGUUCAUCGAUUGUUAUUAUCAAUAGCCUGCUGUAUACGUGCAUGCAUGGUUGCCUCUCUGUUACUUUCUCCUCUCUCUCUCUCUCUCUGCAUAUAUAAAUCUUCCAAAACCUGAGCACAUCAUCAGAAAUACCAUGUCCAACGUCUUUACACUACUAGAAAUUCAUCUAAAACCAAUAAAAUUCCUAAUAGAAUAAUUUUAUCAGUAAAUUGUGAUGAUAAUUAUCGAAGGAAUAUUUUUUAGUUUUUUUCUUGGCCGUUUUAUUUCUUUGCAAUUUAUUUCUUUAAUUAUAAUUGGUCAUUUUUUUUAAUUUGAUAGUUAUUCUUUUAAUUUUUAAUUUUUUUCAUUGGCUUUUUUAUAAAAGUUUUAUUAGUUUUCAAUUUUAUCUUUCCAUCAAAGUUUAUGAUGUGUUAUUUUUUUAAAAAAAUUGGUUCUCAUUCUUUUAUUUUUUUGUUGGAGGUAUUUUUCUUUUAAAUUUAACCCUCCAUUCAAAAACUUUUAAUUGCCCUCUAAUUUAUUUUUUAUUUUAAUUUUCAUUAUCAUUCUUUUAAUUACUAUUUUUUAUUUUAGAUUCUUUUGUGUUGUUAAUUUUUACCCUCUGUUUUAUUCUUCAACGUUUAAUUAAUUUGUUAGGGAUUAUGCUUCACCAUUUUUUCAUGCAUGAUGCUUCUAGUUUAAUAACCCAGAGUACAUAUUUGAAAAGUUGAUGUUGGUUGAUAUAUUUUUUUUACUUAUUUCUUUUUCAAUUCCAUCAUUUAGCAUUAGUGUUUUUUUUUUUUAAGAAUUCACCAUGUUGUUUUCUUUGAUUUUUUUCUAUAGAAUUAUCCCGAUCUCAUAACAUGAAUCAUGAAUUUUGCGUCACACCACAUGUUGACUUGCCCUUUAUUAUUUAUUUCAUCAUCAUUCAGCAUUAGUGUUUAUUUUCAAGAAUUGACUUUGUUGUUUUCUUUGAUUUUUUUAUAUAAAAUUAUUCCGAUCUCAUUACCUGAGUUAUGAGUUUUGCAGCACACCAGAGUUUGGCUCGCCCUUUAUUAUCUAUAUUACAUAUUUAUUGCAAUAUCUCUAGUUGAAUUAGAUUUUUAUCCUUUUUUAUCUAAUUUUGCAGCUCUAUGAAUUUUUUCACAUGGUUUCAUGUUUUUUAUUUAAGAAUUGUUUGUUUGUAGUUGUUGCAUAUUCUUUUAUCAUCUAAUUAAAUUUAAACCAACUUAAAAGAAUGAACAUAACUUUAACUUCAACAGGACCAUCCGGCCACCAUAGGGUAUUUGCCAUAACAGAAACAGAGGAGAGCUUGGGACUUUUACCCAUAAAUUAGCCUACAAGACAAUAAUCCCAGCCUUUGAUUCCAUUAGCAACAAUCUGAGGAGGGACUGUAACAAACCAGUUUCCGUUCUCCUUCAGUGGAUGACCCAGAAACUCAAGCAUUCAAAGAUGUCCCUUCUAGGCACACCAAGAUCACUCCAUUUCUUCUUGUGAUUUGCUAUAUUUUCCCGAGGGGAGAAGAGAAAUAAUAAGAUUAAGGAGAACGUGAGCAAGAUUUAUAUAGAAGAAAAAACAGUGACAACGAUGGCUUAAAGCAUUUUCGCAAAAACAAAUACCGAAACAAAUGGUCUUAAGUUUAUCCAAGAACAUUAGGAAAAAAGAAAAAGGAAAAACUUACAGAGUCGAGACACGUUUCUUAUUAAUGGAUCACCAAGUCUUGAAAGGGACCAAAGGUUCGACGUCAGAUGAUGAUAGAGCCUGAUCAACUUGAAAACUGCUGCAAGUAAUUGAUGUAGAAGCAUCAUCCCACGCACUGACUACUUCAGCCGUGAUGCUCUCAGCUUCUUCGUUAUUUUGUUGAACGUUCUUCUUUUGUGACAAUUGAAUGAUCCUCUCCAACUCUGAUGUGACUUGUUUCAUUGUCGGUCGCUUUUUUCCAUUCAAAUUCAAGCAUCUCAUUGCAAUAUUAGCUACACAGAUGACAUCCUCCUUGGGGCAGUGCUCCUUAAUUUGAGCAUCAACAAUAUCUAAAAUUCUGUUCUCUUCCAUCAAAAGAACAAAAUGUGCAGCCAAGUUUUUGCGUUCUUGUGACUCGUUUGUAAGAAUUGCUUUUUGUCCAGUUAAGAGCUCAGCAAGAACUACUCCAAAACUAUAAACAUCACUCUUAUCUGUAUACUGACUGGACCAAAAGUAUUCUGGGUCCAAGUAACCAUAGGUGCCUUGCACACUAGUCGUCAAAUGAGUUUGAUAAACGGAGAGUGAUCUUGAAGUCCCGAAAUCAGCAAUCUUUGCUCGAUACUUGUGAUCUAAGAGUAUGUUGGUGGACUUUAUAUCUCGAUGAUAAAUUGGAAUGGAAGCUGCUGAGUGAAGAUAGCAAAGUGCUCCGGCAGUUUCAGCAGCAAUCUGUAAUCUCAUUUCCCAUGAUAAAGGGAACUCCUCGUUUUGGCGAAGGAGAUACUCGGAAAGAGUUCCAUUAGGAAUAAAUUCAUAAACUAAAAGAGGAACUUCUGCCUCCAAACAGCAACCAAGUAGCCUGACUAUAUUUCUUUGGUUGAUUUGUGAAAGAAUACAGACCUCGUUGAUGAAUCCUUCAAGGUUUUCUUCACCCACCAUUGUGGACCUUUUGACCGCAACAAUUACUCCAUCUGCUAGCAUCCCUUUGUACACGGUACCUUGGCCACCUUGACCAAGUAUCCUAUUCACAUUGAAACCAUCUGUGGCAGUUUCCAACUCCUCUGAGCUAAAUACUUUGGUUUUGGAAAUACCACCUUGAUCACUUGAGGAUAAAUGUUGCUGUAACAGUAGACCACCAUUCUGUCUGAAAAACUUCUGUUUCAGUUUGAUGCUCUUCCUUUUCUCCAUGGUUUUGUAUAGCCACCAGCUACCACUAACCAGUAACAACACUCCAACAACUCCAACAACAGCUGCAUUUCUCAAAAAAAAAUUAAAAAAUAAUAAUUUCAUGAUUGAUCAUUAUUUAAUGUUCAUAUUAAGAGUCCAUUUUGGGAAUGCAGUAGUAUAUGCGUUCUCAAAAUCAGAAGCAACAAAAGUAUAUUUGGAAAUGUAGUACUCUAUAUGCGUUCUCAAAAUCAGAAGCGACAAAAGUAUAUUAGAGUUUUACUGUGUUCCCAAAACGGUCUCUAAAUCUAGUAAGAUAAAUAGCUCAAUCUAAAAGUAUAUUUUCAUUAAUUAUAAAAAAUCUAUAAGUCAUAAUAUAAUAGAUAUGAAUAUCUAAUUAUAUACCGAUUGAGUCAUUAAUCAUUAUUAUAUUGCAAACAAAAGUUAAUCGAUGAGCAGUAUUGAAAUUUUCUUAUUUCUAUAACAUUUUCAAAAAUUAUAAUUUUUUUAAUUUCUAAAGCUUUAUACAAAAUUUUAAAUGGUUGAGCAUCUUCAAAUAGGUUUUGUCAUAGUUUUUCGAGGCAAAAAAAUUAUUCCUUUAAAGUUUUAAAAAAUUUAAAUUUAUUUUAAGAAAUUUAUUUUUUAUGUUUCAUGAGAUUUUCAAGAAAGAAAAGGAUGAUCCACUUUUAUUUAUUUAUUUAUUUUAUCCUAUGAGAGAAUAACUUGUCAUUAAAUAUUGACUUUGAGUGGCAUAUGCAACAAAGCAUUGGCGAGAGAAGGGGCUAUCACUUUUCAAUUAUUUUCAAAUAAAAUUCUAUGAUAGAUUUUCAUAUUUUGAAUAUUUUUUAAAAUAAAAAAUAAACCAGUUUUUCGAUUCGUCUAAUUUUGUAAUUGAACUGAAAUUAAACUGAAUUAUAAAACCUAGCAAAGUGAAUUAGAUGAACAAAACUAACAUAGCUAGUUUUGGCGUCGAUUUUCAUGGUGUCGAGGAGAGUGGCACAGCUGGUCACGGUGCUGCUGCUAGAAAUUGCGAGGAGAUCAGGUGGUUGGUUUUUCGGAGGAGUUCGGGUGUUUUGUGAGGCUACUGCUGUCAGGAUGAAAGGAGGAAGAAGGAGACAGUCCAUCUGUGGAUUUCCAGCUGGAGUUGGCGUGGAUUUGAUGGUUUGGAGGAAGAGUGGCGCGGAUGGUUCGUCUGGCUAUGGUGGCUGGGAUGGUGGAUCUGUGGCGGCUGGUAUCUGGUGGAGAGAGAAGUGGGGAAUGGUAGUUUUGUAUUUUUAUCUUUAGGGUUGUUUUAUUAGGGGUCAUUUUAUUUCGUAGCUAUACAGUGUUGGCAAGUCUUAUAACAUUAUUUUAUUAUUUAUUUUAAAAUAUAUUAAAAUAAUAUUUUUUAUUUUUUAAAAUUAUUUUUAAUAUUAAUAUAUUAAAACAAUAUAAAAAUAUAAAAAAUAAUUUUUUAAAAAUAUAAAAUUUUAAAAAACACAAUUUCAAAACCAAUCAGCCACUCAAUAUGCUUGCAUAAAUUACAUAUAGGAUAAUUGAAAAACAAGGAAUACGUGCCACUGCCACGUAAGAAGUGGAUGCAUACGAAUGACAUUAAUUACCUGCAAUAAUAAUUGUGAUGAUGCGAAACCCAAGGCAACCUCUCUUGCCAUCACCAUGCAUGCCAAGUGGACAUUUACAUUCGUAAUUCCCAAUGGUGUUAUGGCAUUUACCAUGACAUGGGUAUCUCUUGCCAUCCCUGCACUCAUCGAUAUCUGUGAACAUAACAAAUUACGAAUUUACAUUAAUUCAACACAGUGAAAGUUCUAAGAAGUUCUGAGGAGUUGUUUCGUUUUACCAAAUUAUGAAUUUACUAUAACUGUGGAUUUUGAAGUUGUUUUGUUUCAAGUAUAUCUGAGAAGAGGAAUGAACAGUCUUUUAAUUUCAAUCACUCAACUAGUGAAGGCAUCUGUCACUUUACCUUGGCAUCUGUCACGGGGUUAAAUUUUUCGCAACUAAACUUAACCCAAUGCGGCAGUCUAGCCCCAACUAGACUCAGCCUUGCCUCACCCUUUCACUCGUGUUUUCCUACGACUAUGUGUUUCGCUCACUCAAGGAGGUUCUCACACUCGCCUCGUCGUAGACAACAAAUAAACACAAGCAACACAAGCACACUAGAGUUUUACAAGAAUCCCUCUCAACCUUUAUUUAUCUCGUCAACAAAGGAAUACACAAAAAUGGUGUGUGCUAUGCACAAAUCGCAUGCUACACAGCAGAGGCUUGGCAGCCUAUUUAUAGCCAAAUGUGAGAUUCCAUCCUCACCCAUAAUCCCCUAAUUUCGGGGCAUAGUGGAGCAUUAUCUCCCGCAUGAUCACCCUUUACAUGGACUAGUGGAGCACUACCUUCCCCAUUAUCCUUAGUGGGUUGGUGAAGCACUUUGUCCUCCAUUAUUUGGCCCCUCCACCCAUGAUUCUGCCUGCCCUCAUAGCAGCCCCAAUUGUCUGCCUUGCUGUGUCAGCUGCUGACUUAGAAAGUCCAUUGUCUAAGCCCCACGUCCAUGCCAAGUCGCCAGCUCAAAGAUUUGCACAGACCCUUGCACGCUGCCUGCCGAAUUCGUUUCUGCCGCAGUCCAUCGCUGCCGAAUUCUAGGCAAUGUGCCUUCGUUGGCGCGCCCCGCGCCUAGACUUCUAACAGCAUCCUUUUUCAAGAUAUGGGUUUCCUUAAUUCGAACCCUUCAUUGCAUGCGCAACGAUAUCCUUGACCAUUAUCGGAUUAGUAGCAAUUUGUAUUGAUGCCACAAGCAUAUGAACUCUUAUUGCCCUGAGCAUUUUCGCAUGUCUCGGUUUGAGCUACCCAUUCGAUCACCACAUUUGAUGUUUCCAAAUCUGUUGGAGUACGAGAGAGUGGCCAAUCCGACAGGUCAAGGGAGUCUAUGUCCUCAACGAAAGCAAAGCCACAGGGGUUAAAUUCGGAAACAUCCACGUGGUUGCUAAUGCUCUGAAUGGUAAUAUUCAUAGACUUGAGGCCCUUUGGAAUCGAGGUCUGGCAGCAUCCAGAACCUGAGCAGGAAUUAUUCUUUGACAUGGUAACAUUUCUAGUGCAUAAAGAGAGACAAGCAGACCCGAAUGUCACCUCCUCGUCGGUCACCAUGGCAGUGGUGUCACAACCAACAGCUGUGAACACAUUUCGAGAGUCUGAAAUUGUGAAGGGGCCUGAUCCAAGUGAGAUAAACUGAUUGAAAAUCCGCGACCUCCGCCCUGACUUGUCAUAGCAAUCGAACGAUGCAAAAAUGCCUACAGUGACUGUGCCAUUCAGCAAUGAUAUAUUGCGAGCAGGCAUGUUCUCUCCAAACCACAGUUCAUGAUGACCAUCAUCAGUGGAAGUGCAGUCUAGAAAGAAGUUUUCGUUCAUGGCACAUCUUUGUUCCCCAAUCCCAAACGGGAAAGGAACAAUAACAUCCCCACACCUUUCUUGGCAGCCAGGUUUCACAUCUGGAUUUGCUGUUGCUCCUGUUACUGCAGCCACUAGUAGCAACAUCAUCAGCAAAAACACCCACCUCUGAAGUAUCAUUUUCUAUACACCACCACCCAACUUAAUAUAUGUAUACAAGGAAGCUCCGAACCAACUCUCUCCCGCUAAUUUUUAAUUGUGCAACUUCAUUUCCUGGUAGACAAUAUAUAGCAAAGAGAGACUAACAGAAAACACUCAUCAGAUGACAUAGAUGAUCAGGUCAAUGAAGUCAAUUGCGAGUCAUUUCUUCGAUCUUUCUUUUAUAGCAAUCCAAAAU
rnacentral:lncRNA from 1 species